AGUGAACGCUGGCGGUAGGCCUAACACAUGCAAGUCGAACGGCAGCACAGUAAGAGCUUGCUCUUACGGGUGGCGAGUGGCGGACGGGCGAGGAAUACAUCGGAAUCUACUUUUUCGUGGGGGAUAACGUAGGGAAACUUACGCUAAUACCGCAUACGACCUACGGGUGAAAGCAGGGGAUCUUCUGACCUUGCGCGAUUGAAUUAGCCGAUGUCGGAUUAGCUAGUUGGCGGGGUAAAGGCCCACCAAGGCGACGAUCCGUAGCUGGUCUGAGAGGAUGAUCAGCCACACUGGAACUGAGACACGGUCCAGACUCCUACGGGAGGCAGCAGUGGGGAAUAUUGGACAAUGGGCGCAAGCCUGAUCCAGCCAUACCGCGUGGGUGAAGAAGGCCUUCGGGUUGUAAAGCCCUUUUGUUGGGAAAGAAAAGCAGCAGGUUAAUACCCCGCUGUUCUGACGGUACCCAAAGAAUAAGCACCGGCUAACUUCGUG
rnacentral:rRNA from 1 species